GAUCAAAAGAAACGUUUUUUGGUGGACAGGUGGUGCGAUGAGAUUAAUUUGAUUUUUUUCUUCUCUUCCAAUUGAUUCCCACGUCUGAUUCUCCAUGGAUUCGGCGUCGAUUUGGUUCCGGUGAAGCAGACGGCAUUUGAUUCUGGUGAAGAUCGAUCUGUCGAAACCCUAAUAUUUGGGGAAGAUUCAAGCACUUCGAUUGCGUUAGUUGAGCUCAAGCAAGUCACAGUUAAGGCGACAAGGAAACAACAUUUCAACCAACCGAAAAAGGUAAAUAUACACCUAACUGGUUAGAAACCAAUUGAUUGCUUUGUUUGUUUGGUAGUAUCUAUUUUGGGGUAGUGAGUUAUAGCAUGACUGUUUAUUUGUGCUCCUAUGUGUACUUCUUUGUGACUAGGUUGUCAUUAGUCUUAAUUGGUGGUUGUUCUGUCAUUAAUGGAAGUGACUAGGUAGUGUAUUCAUUGUGUGUUUGGUGUCGAAAAUUAAUUGUAACUCCAAUAUACUUCACCUUAUAAACUAAGCUUUUCUUGAUCUUUAAACCACAAACCCGAAUAUCUUCCAAGCAUAAACCGUUUUUCUUUUCUUUCCAUAUUCUUCUAAAUCCCAUUUGCUACUAUGGAGUCUGACCAUGAUCUAAAUCAGUCCACAAAUUUUGUGGGACUUAUGAAUAGUCAGCAGGGGAGUGGCUAUCCUCAAACCAUUUCUUUUGAUUCCCUCUACCCAAAUAUACCUACUCUUUCGUCACCAGUGCCUCUCUUUAGUUCCCAAGUCAGUUAUGCAGCUUCCCCAAGUGAAGACACAACUGCAAGUCGUAGGGAAAGAAGGAAAUGGACACCUUCUGAUGACCGGAUUCUCAUUAGCGGGUGGUUAAACACCAGCAAGGAUGCUGUGAAAGGCAAUGAUCAGAAGGGCAGAACUUUCUGGAAAAGGGUUGCUGAUUAAUUUUCAGAUAGUUCACUUUCUGAUGGCAAUGAGAAGAUAGGGCCAAUUCAGUGUAAACAGAAAUGGGCUAAGAUUGGUGAUACGGUCGGGAAGUUUUGUGGAACGUAUGCUGCUGCGGUGAGGGCUAAAACUAGUGGUCAGAAUGAGGAUGAUAUAAUGAAGAUAGCGUAUGAUAUGUACUACAACAUUUAUCAGAAAAAAUUCGUUCUUGAGCAUUGUUGGUUAGAGUUACGCUAUGACCAGAAAUGGUGUGAGAGUGUUAAUGGUAAAGCACCUGAAGUAAGCAACAAGAAAAGACUCUUUGAUGAUCCUGCACAAUCUUCAGCUUCUCAGACCGACGGUAACAUAGAUGAGCCAACAAACACAAGGCCUACUGGUAGAGACGCUAGUAAGGCCAAACAGAGGAAGACUCAUACAGAAGCGAAGGAAGAGAAGGCUUUGAAGGAGUACCAAAGCAUGUGGGAAAUAAAGAAGGAAGAAUUGGUGCUGAAAGAGAGAUUGUCAAAAAUGCAAAUUCUUGACAGUUUGCUGGCCAAAAGUGGACCUCUUACUCCGAAAGAAGAAGCUAUGAAAGAGAAGCUGCUUGACUUAGUGGAUGAUUAGUUUUAGAACAAAUCUGGUCGAGAAGUGUCCUGUUUGCGUCUGUUGAGUCUGUUGAGGCUAGUUGAGUCUUGUUGAGUCUUGUUGAGUCUUGUUUGAUUAUAAGUUAAGUCUUGUUUGAUUAUAAGUUGAUGUGUAAGCGAAUGUCUAAUUUCUUGUUUGUCUAAUGCUUUUGUUAACCGAACAAGGAACACAUGGGGCGAUAUAUAUAUGGCUCUGCUUUCUCGGGAAGUAAUGGUUAUCUGGUUGACGAAGAAUCUAGCCAUCGGCUAUAUGAUAACAUUUUUCUUACUCGGUAUUGUAUAUGUCACAUGCUUUUGUU